UACGUAGGUGGCAAGCGUUGUUCGGAAUUAUUGGGCGUAAAGGGCGCGUAGGCGGUCGAUUAAGUCAGCUGUGAAAGCCCGGGGCUCAACCCCGGAGGGUCGGCUGAUACUGGUUGACUAGAGUACGGAAGAGGUAGCUGGAAUUCCCGGUGUAGCGGUGAAAUGCGUAGAUAUCUGGAGGAACACCGGUGGCGAAGGCGGCAUCCUGGACCGACACUGACACUGAGGAGCGAAAGCCAGGGGAGCAAACGGG
rnacentral:rRNA from 1 species